rnacentral:tRNA from 1 species
GGUGCCAUAGCUCAGUUGGUAGAGCAAAGGACUGAAAAUCCUUGUGUCCCGGGUUCGAAUCCCGGUGGAACCA